AAGCUGGAUAAGGAAGAAGCUGCUACAGCUGAGGUUUGGCGGCUGCUCAGGGAGCACAUUCCACUCUUCCGAGCCUCCGAGGAGUGCCUUGCUCCUUUCCAGAAGGACUGAACUGCUCCCUCCCUUAAGGCGUUUUGCGGAAUCACCCAUCAAAGCCCAUCAGCUGCCCCUGCAUUUCCAGGUGGUGUGCAUUUGGCUCAGAUGAGCCUGGAGCAUGGUGGAUCCCUGUGAGCUGACUUGAUCCAAACACUGCUCCCUGUUUUGAAGACCAUGAGCUGAUCUUGGGAGAGGAAAGUUGUGAGGGGAAGUCGGGGGACAACUUGAAUAACAAGGAUUUGAUUUAAGCAUCAGUGUUGGACAGGAAGAUGCUGGGGUCGAAUCAUCAGAAGAAGCCGGAUAACUCACCACAGUGAAUGUGCUGAGAGAGAAGAUGAAUAAUAACUCUCUUGCACAUCUGAUCCCAUCUUGACCUCUGCAUCCCCAGGACCUGAACUGGCCUGUGGCCUGAGGUCACGCAGCCAGCAAGUGGCUGAGUGGGUGGAUUGAAAGCCAAGGUCUUAAAGCCAGGUCUUUUGGACCCCUGGGCCACUCUGCCUCUGUAGAGAAGUCGUAAAGGAAUUUUGGGCACCUUUUUUAUUUAUGUCUCCUUCGAAUCACAUGAAAAUGACAAGCCUUGUUUUCCUACUUUUUUUUUCUGACAGAAUUAAUAUCUCUGCUCAUUCCCUCCUCCCCAAAAGAGAUGCAACUUGUUAGCACAAAAAAUCCAAAUGUAUUCUCUAAAAAUGAUGGAUCUGGCACCGAGUCUUCCUAAAAGAAUGAUAUUCCUCUAACUGUAGAAUGCAGGAGAAGAAAGGUGAUUUAUCAUAGAAA